AAUGGGAGGAAAAGAAACCAACAGGGAUUGCCUCAGUAACGGCGAGUGAAGCGGCAAAAGCUCAAAUUUGAAAUCUAGCACCUUCGGUGUUUGAGUUGUAAUUUGAAGAUGGUAACCUUGGGUUUGGCUCUUGUCUAUGUUCCUUGGAACAGGACGUCAUAGAGGGUGAGAAUCCCGUCUGAUGAGAUGCCCAUUCCUAUGUAAGGUGCUAUCGAAGAGUCGAGUUGUUUGGGAAUGCAGCUCUAAGUGGGUGGUAAAUUCCAUCUAAAGCUAAAUAUUGGCGAGAGACCGAUAGCGAACAAGUACAGUGAUGGAAAGAUGAAAAGAACUUUGAAAAGAGAGUGAAAAAGUACGUGAAAUUGUUGAAAGGGAAGGGCAUUAGAUCAGACUUGGUGUUUUACGAUUAUCUUCUCUUCUUGAGUUGUGCACUCGUAUUUCACUGGGCCAGCAUCGAUUCGGAUGGCAAGAUAAUGGCAGUUGAAUGUGGCUUCACUUCGGUGGAGUGUUAUAGCUUCUGCUGAUAUUGCCUGUCUGGAUCGAGGGCUGCGUCUUUUGACUAGGAUGCUGGCGUAAUGAUCUAAUGCCGCCCGUCUGAA
rnacentral:rRNA from 1 species